CCUACGGGAGGCAGCAGUAGGGAAUCUUUCACAAUGGGCGAAAGCCUGAUGGAGCAACGCCGCGUGCAGGAUGAAGGCCUUCGGGUUGUAAACUGCUUUUAUAAGCGAGAAAUAUGAUGGUAACUUAUGAAUAAGGAUCGGCUAACUACGUGCCAGCAGCCGCGGUCAUACGUAGGAUCCGAGCAUUAUCCGGAGUGACUGGGUGUAAAGAGUUGCGUAGGUGGCAUAAUAAGUAGCUAGUGAAAUCUGGUGGCUCAACCACUCAGACUAUUAGCUAAACUGUUAAGCUCGAGACCGUUAGAGGUAACUGGAAUUUCUAGUGUAGGAGUGAAAUCCGUAGAUAUUAGAAGGAACACCAGUAGCGUAGGCAGGUUGCUGGGACGGUUCUGACACUAAGGCACGAAAGCGUAGGGAGCAAACGGGGUUAGAUACCCGAGUAGUC
rnacentral:rRNA from 1 species